AGAUUGAACGCUGGCGGCAUGCCUAACACAUGCAAGUCGAACGGGUUGUAGCAAUACAACUAGUGGCGGACGGGUGAGGAAUACAUAGGAAUUUGCCUUUAGGUGGGGGAUAGUCCGGGGGAAACUCGGUUUAAUACCGCAUGAUGUCGCAAGACCAAAGCAGGGGAUCGUAAGACCUUGCGCCUUUAGAGAAGCCUAUGUCGGAUUAGCUAGUUGGUAGGGUAAUGGCCUACCAAGGCGACGAUCCGUAACUGGUCUGAGAGGACGAUCAGUCACACCGGAACUGAGACACGGUCCGGACUCCUACGGGAGGCAGCAGUGGGAAUAUUGGACAAUGGGCGAAAGCUGAUCCAGCAAUGCCGCGUGUGUGAAGAAGGCCUUCGGGUUGUAAAGACACGUUAGGCGUGGAAAGAAAAAGCGUUACAACCUAAUACGUGAAGCCUUAGACGUACAGACGAAUAAGCACCGGCUAAC
rnacentral:rRNA from 1 species